rnacentral:rRNA from 1 species
UAAUUAAUAUUUAAUUAUUUAAAUUUCUCGAAUUUAAAAGAGCUAAAUAUAUAUAUAUAUUAUUGUGGAAAAAAUAUUUAUAAUAUGUAUUUAGUAAUGAAACGUUAUUCGUUUUUAAAUAUAUCUAGUUUUUCAAGAAAUGAAUUUAAUUCAGGUAUUUUGUUAUAAGAGAUUACUUUUUUAGUUAUUUAUAUAAAAUAUCUAAUGUUUUAAGGGAUAAGCUUUAAAAUAAAUUUUUAUAAUUUAGAUGGGUUACAGUAAAAAUUAUUAGGAUUGGAAGUUUCUAUUAAAUUGUUGUGUUAUAAUAAAUUUUUAUUUUAAUAAGAUUUAAAUAUUAUUUAAAUUUUUUUAUUGAAAUUAUUUACUUAAUUUUUUAUUAAAUGUAAUAAUGAUUAAAUUAGUAUAAUUUUAUGUAGAUAUCUUUAUUAUUUAUAGGUUAAUUUAAGGAAUUCGGCAAAUUAUUUUCUCGCCUGUUUAUUAAAAACAUGUCUUUUUGAUAAUAAUUUAAAGUCUAAUCUGCCCAAUGAUUAUUAAUUGAAUGGCCGCAGUAUUUUGACUGUGCUAAGGUAGCAUAAUCAUUAGUUUUUUAAUUGAAAGCUGGUAUGAAUGAUUGGACGAGGAAAAAACUGUCUCAAGUUAAUUUAAUUAGAAUUUUAUUUUUAAGUAAAAAAGCUUAAAUAAAUUUAAAAGACGAGAAGACCCUAUAGAGUUUUAUAUUUAUUUAAAUUUAUUGUUUAAAGAAUCAUUAAAUUUAAAUUUAAAUAAAUAUUUGGUUGGGGGGAUUGAAAAAUUUAAUAAACUUUUUCUUUAUUAUAACAUAAAUUAAUGAAUCAAUGAUCCAUCUUUGAUGAUUAUAAGAUUAAAUUACCUUAGGGAUAACAGCGUAAUUUUUUUUAGAGUUCUUAUCGAAUAAAAAGGUUGCGACCUCGAUGUUGGAUUAAAAUUUAUUUUUGGUGUAGGUGCUAAAAGUAUUAAGUCUGUUCGACUUUUAAAAUUUU